rnacentral:rRNA from 1 species
UGCGAGUCGAACGGUGAAGGAGGAGCUUGCUCCUUUGGAUCAGUGGCGAACGGGUGAGUAACACGUGAGUAACCUGCCCCAGACUCUGGGAUAAGCACUGGAAACGGUGUCUAAUACCGGAUACGAGCUUCAGCCGCAUGGCUAGGAGCUGGAAAGAAUUUCGGUCUGGGAUGGACUCGCGGCCUAUCAGCUAGUUGGUGAGGUAAUGGCUCACCAAGGCGACGACGGGUAGCCGGCCUGAGAGGGUGACCGGCCACACUGGGACUGAGACACGGCCCAGACUCCUACGGGAGGCAGCAGUGGGGAAUAUUGCACAAUGGGCGCAAGCCUGAUGCAGCAACGCCGCGUGAGGGACGACGGCCUUCGGGUUGUAAACCUCUUUUAGUAGGGAAGAAGCGAAAGUGACGGUACCUGCAGAAAAAGCACCGGCUAACUACGUGCCAGCAGCCGCGGUAAUACGUAGGGUGCAAGCGUUAUCCGGAAUUAUUGGGCGUAAAGAGCUCGUAGGCGGUUUGUCGCGUCUGCUGUGAAAACUGGAGGCUCAACCUCCAGCCUGCAGUGGGUACGGGCAGACUAGAGUGCGGUAGGGGAGAUUGGAAUUCCUGGUGUAGCGGUGGAAUGCGCAGAUAUCAGGAGGAACACCGAUGGCGAAGGCAGAUCUCUGGGCCGUAACUGACGCUGAGGAGCGAAAGCAUGGGGAGCGAACAGGAUUAGAUACCCUGGUAGUCCAUGCCGUAAACGUUGGGAACUAGAUGUAGGGACCAUUCCACGGUUUCUGUGUCGCAGCUAACGCAUUAAGUUCCCCGCCUGGGGAGUACGGCCGCAAGGCUAAAACUCAAAGGAAUUGACGGGGGCCCGCACAAGCGGCGGAGCAUGCGGAUUAAUUCGAUGCAACGCGAAGAACCUUACCAAGGCUUGACAUAUACCGGAAAAGUUCAGAAAUGUUCUCCCCGCAAGGUCGGUAUACAGGUGGUGCAUGGUUGUCGUCAGCUCGUGUCGUGAGAUGUUGGGUUAAGUCCCGCAACGAGCGCAACCCUCGUUCUAUGUUGCCAGCACGUAAUGGUGGGAACUC